CGUCCCAUUGACAGGCGUCGCAAUUUUGUCCGCGCCUCCUCGUCUGAGAUCCGCUCGAUUCUGCUCCCAGAAGGGCGGUGGAACGCUGGGCUGAGGCGGUUCGCUCUCGCUUGGGGUUUCCUCGGAUCUUGAAAUAGUUUUAGUACGCGAAGGUUGGAUCGAGAGUCGAAAGAUGGGCUCCCUAAUCAAGGCAGAGGAGGUGAUCGCUGAGGGAGAAUGGUCAACGGAGGCUAUCGUCUACGUCAACGGUGUCCGCAGGGUGUUGCCCGAUGGGUUAGCGCACCUCACCCUUCUUCAGUACCUAAGAGAUAUUGGUCUAACAGGAACGAAACUCGGCUGUGGUGAAGGUGGCUGUGGAGCUUGCACAGUAAUGAUUUCCUGUUUUGAUGAACGGUCAAGGAAAUCACAGCACUAUGCUAUAAAUGCAUGCUUGGCUCCGUUAUAUUCUGUUGAAGGUAUGCAUGUAAUAACAGUUGAAGGAAUUGGAGAUAGUGGACGAAGCUUGCACCCCAUUCAGGAAUCAUUAUCCCAAGCGCAUGGUUCACAGUGUGGAUUUUGCACUCCUGGAUUUGUCAUGUCUAUGUAUGCACUACUAAGAUCUUGUAAUGAGCCACCUUCUGAAGAGAAAAUUGAAGAAUGUCUGGCAGGAAAUUUAUGUCGCUGCACAGGUUAUAGGCCAAUUCUUGAUGCUUUUCGUGUCUUUGCAAAAACUGAUGAUCUAAUAUAUACCAAGACAAUGUCAGAAAAUAACUUGUCUGGUGAUUUUAUUUGCCCUUCAACUGGAAAACCAUGCGACUGUGGAAAAGGAACAACUAAUAGUACUGAAACCUCAACGCGUGGCAAGCAGUACAACCCCUUUUUAUACAACAAAAUUGAUGGAAGUUUGUACAGUGAAAGGGAACUCAUUUUCCCGCCAGAACUUCUCUUAAAGAAAGUUAUGUCACUUAGUUUACAUGGAUUUGAAGGAAUUAAGUGGUACAGACCUCUUAGACUCCAGCAAGUAUUAGACUUGAAAUCUUUGUAUCGAGAUGCCAAGCUUGUGAUUGGUAAUACUGAAGUAGGAAUUGAAACAAAGUUUAAGAAUCUUCAAUACAAAGUUUUGAUCUCUGUCACACAUGUGCCAGAGCUUAAUAUAUUAAGCUUGAAUGAGAAAGGACUUGAAAUUGGUGCCUCUGUACGACUCAUUGAACUUCAGAAAUUUCUUAGGAAGGUAAUAACAGAUUAUCCUGAUGAUAAAACUUCUUCAUGCAAAGCAAUCCUGGAGCAGCUGAAAUGGUUUGCUGGAAAUCAGAUAAAAAAUGUUGCUUCUGUAGGUGGAAAUAUUUGUACUGCUAGCCCAAUCUCAGACUUGAAUCCACUUUGGAUGGCUGCAGGAGCAAUUUUCCAAGUUAUAAGCUGUAAAGGAAAUGUUAGAACAAUUCCUGCCAAAGAUUUUUUUCUUUCUUAUCGAAAAGUUAAUCUUACAUAUGAUGAAAUACUACUCUCCAUCUUCCUACCCUGGACUAGACAUUUCGAAUUUGUUAAGGAAUUUAAGCAAGCACAUCGGAGAGAAGAUGACAUUGCACUUGUUAAUGCUGGAAUGCGUGUUUUUCUUAAACAUGACCAUGGAACAUUAGAAGUUCUUGAUGCCUCUAUUGUUUAUGGAGGCAUAGCUCCUGUUUCCUUGACUGCAACUAUGACUGAGAACUAUCUUAUUGGAAAGAAAUGGGAUGAUAUUUUAUUGCAGGGUGCUCUAAAGAUAUUGCAAGAGGACAUUGUUCUUACAGAAAAUGCACCAGGAGGAAUGGUGGAAUUCCGCAAAUCCCUAAGUUCAAGUUUUUUCUUUAAGUUUUUUUCAUUUGUUACAAAUGAAUUGAAUCAUAAAGGAUUUUUAAUUGAAGGCUUGAAUGCAACUGGUCUGUCAGCCAUACAACCAAAUUAUAGGCCACUAACUAGAGGAAUUCAGUGUUAUGAACUGACCAGACAUGGGACAUCUGUAGGACUCCCUGCUAUGCAUCUAUCGUCAAAGCUACAGGUAACGGGCGAGGCAGAAUAUGCUGAUGACGUGCCAACUCCUCCAAAUACUUUGCAUGCAGCUUUAAUUUUGAGUAGAAAGCCUCAUGCACGGAUAUUAUCUAUUGAUGAUUCUUUAGCCAAGUCUUCACCUGGAUUUAUUGGUCUUUUUGGGCAUAGAGAUGUCCCUGGGAGCAAUAAAAUUGGCCCUAUUAUUCAUGAUGAGGAACUUUUCGCAUCAGAAAUUGUUACUUGUGUUGGGCAGGUUAUUGGUAUUGUUGUGGCUGAUACACAUGAUAAUGCAAAGAUUGCAUCAAACAAAAUUGUUGUUGAAUAUGAAGAGUUGCCUGCAAUCUUAUCCAUAAGAGAAGCUGUGAAAUCUUGCAAUUUCUUUCCAAAUACUGGAAGAUGUCUGACAAAAGGGGAUGUAGAAUUGUGUUUCAAAUCAGGUGCAUGUGACAAAGUCAUAGAUGGGGAGGUUCAGGUUGGAGGCCAAGAACACUUUUACUUGGAACCAAAUAGCAGUUUGGUUUGGACAGUUGAUGGUGGAAAUGAAAUACAUAUGGUUUCCUCUACACAAGCCCCUCAAAAGACCCAAGACUAUGUUGCUCGUGUACUUGGUCUUCCACUUGCAAAAGUAGUUUGCAAGACAAAGCGCAUUGGUGGUGGCUUUGGAGGAAAAGAAACAAGAUCUGCUUUCAUUACAGCUGCAGCUUCUGUGCCAUCUUAUGUCUUGAGGAGACCUAUAAAAAUUACAUUAGACAGGGAUGUGGACAUGAUGAUAACUGGACAGCGCCAUAGUUUCCUUGGAAAAUACAAGGUUGGGUUUACAAAUGCUGGGGAGGUUUUGGCAAUAGAUCUCCAACUUUACAACAAUGCUGGGAACUCAUUAGACUUGUCUGCUGCAGUCCUUGAGCGUGCUAUGUUUCAUUCUGACAAUGUUUACAAUAUUCCAAAUAUGAGAAUUACAGGGGAUGUUUGUUAUACCAAUUUUCCAAGUAAUACAGCCUUCAGGGGAUUUGGAGGUCCUCAGGGAAUGCUUAUUGCAGAAAACUGGAUUCAACGGAUUGCUAUGGAGCUUCAAAAAAGUCCUGAAGAGAUAAGGGAGCUUAAUUUUCAAAAUGAUGGCUGUAUGCUGCAUUAUGGUCAAGUUCUUCAAUCAUCUACUGUGAGCCAGCUGUGGGAUCAAUUAAAGCAAUCAUGCUCUUUUGUAAGGACUCGGGAAAAUGUCAAUAUGUUUAAUCUCCACAACCGGUGGCGUAAGCGUGGAGUUGCGAUGGUUCCUACGAAGUUUGGUAUAUCAUUCACUACCAAAUUCAUGAACCAGGCUGGUGCACUAGUCCAAGUCUAUACUGAUGGGACAGUUCUUGUGACACAUGGAGGUGUUGAGAUGGGACAGGGCCUACAUACAAAAGUUGCACAGAUAGCUGCAUCAUCCUUCAAUAUUCCUCUUAGUUCUGUUUUUAUAUCGGAAACAAGUACUGAUAAGGUUCCUAAUGCAUCACCAACAGCAGCUUCUGCCAGCUCAGACAUGUACGGUGCUGCUGUUUUUGACGCUUGUGAUCAAAUAAAGUCACGAAUGCAACAUAUUGCUGCUAGGAAUCCACAUUCUUCUUUUGCUGAGUUAGCAAAAGCAUGCUAUUUGGAAAGGAUAGACCUCUCUGCUCAUGGCUUUUACAUUACACCUGACAUUGGUUUUGACUGGAAAGAUGGAAAGGGUUCACCAUUCAGUUAUUUCACCUUUGGAGCUGCAUUUGCAGAAGUUGAGAUAGACACUCUCACUGGAGAUUUUUACACAAGGGAAGCUGACAUUAUCAUGGACCUUGGUCAUUCCCUUAAUCCAGCAAUUGAUGUUGGACAGAUUGAGGGUGCUUUCGUUCAAGGUUUGGGUUGGAUAGCACUUGAGGAGUUAAAAUGGGGAGAUUCAGAUCACAAGUGGAUUAGGCCAGGCCACUUGUACACUUCUGGGCCUGGAACUUAUAAAAUUCCUACUGCAAAUGAUAUUCCUCUAAAACUGAAGGUUUCACUUUUGAAGGGUAUGCUGUGCUGAUCUUCUAAUGUGCCAAGAUGGCACCGGAACUGAGAUUUUAGAUGCUGUUUAGAGUCCUAUAUAUGUUAUCUCGAAAUCAUGAGCCUUGUCUAUCUUUCAUUUUUGUUGAAGCAUCCAUUGUGCAAGGAAGGAUACCAAUGGAAUAAGAGCAUGACAUAGUACCGACAGGAAACACAAAAGGGGAACCGAUUGUGAAGGCCGUGCCGAUAUUUCUUUUCAAAAUGGGCGUUCAGAAUACCAAAGCAAUUCACUCUUCAAAGGCUGUUGGGGAGCCACCAUUUUUCCUUGCCUCUGCAGUGCUGUUUGCUAUCAAAGAUGCGAUCAUCGCUGCCCGAGCUGAAGAAGGCUAUCACGACUGGUUUCCAC